rnacentral:rRNA from 1 species
AUUGAACGCUGGCGGCAGGCCUAACACAUGCAAGUCGAGCGGUAGAGAGAAGCUUGCUUCUCUUGAGAGCGGCGGACGGGUGAGUAAAGCCUAGGAAUCUGCCUGGUAGUGGGGGAUAACGUUCGGAAACGGACGCUAAUACCGCAUACGUCCUACGGGAGAAAGCAGGGGACCUUCGGGCCUUGCGCUAUCAGAUGAGCCUAGGUCGGAUUAGCUAGUUGGUGAGGUAAUGGCUCACCAAGGCGACGAGCCGUAACUGGUCUGAGAGGAUGAUCAGUAAGACGGGAAGUGAGACACGGUCCAGACUCCAACGGGAGGCAGCAGUGGGGAAUAUUGGACAAUGGGCGAAAGCCUGAUCCAGCCAUGCCGCGUGUGUGAAGAAGGUCUUCGGAUUGUAAAGCACUUUAAGUUGGGAGGAAGAGCAUUAACCUAAUACGUUAGUGUUUUGACGUUACCGACAGAAUAAGCACCGGCUAACUCUGUGCCAGCCGCCGCCGUAA